rnacentral:lncRNA from 1 species
AUGUGAGGCAGAGCCCAUGGAAGCCAGUGCGCAGGCUGUCAGCCCCGCCGUUCCAUUUGGAACGAUCCAUUUUGAAAACAGGAAAAUUAUGGUCGAGAAGCAAUAAAGAGCUCAGUUAUCUGCCGCCUUUCACUUUGUCUUGUUGCCUACACAGAUGCAGAAUGCCAAAUUUCUGCUGUUUCUCUGGCAGUGCCUUGCGUGGGCGCUCCCAGAGCUUCCUUUUCCUUAGGAGACCGCGGGACGGAGGAGAAUGCAAUCCAUGGCCACUUCUGGGGUGUGCAGUGCACAGAGGAUGCCAUGCAGCAAACACAGAGGUCUAAUCACUCAGUGGUGAUUACCAAGUCCUGGGCUCAUCUGUUGAGGGGAGUCAUUACAAACAGUACUCUGGAGAUCUCUCUAACAAAAUAUUAG